rnacentral:rRNA from 1 species
UGAGGAAUAUUGGACAAUGGGCGCAAGCCUGAUCCAGCCAUGCCGCGUGCAGGAAGACGCAUCUAUGGUGUGUAAACUGCUUUUGUACGGGAAGAAACACUCCCUCGUGAGGGAGCUUGACGGUACCGUAAGAAUAAGGAUCGGCUAACUCCGUGCCAGCAGCCGCGGUAAUACGGAGGAUCCAAGCGUUAUCCGGAAUCAUUGGGUUUAAAGGGUCCGUAGGCGGUUUAAUAAGUCAGUGGUGAAAGCCCAUCGCUCAACGAUGGAACGGCCAUUGAUACUGUUAGACUUGAAUUAUUGUGAAGUAACUAGAAUAUGUAGUGUAGCGGUGAAAUGCUUAGAUAUUACAUGGAAUACCAAUUGCGAAGGCAGGUUACUAACAAUA